GAGGGGAUUGGUGAUUUUUUUGGGGCCAGCCAACUAAAUAUUGUUUUGUGUGAGCAAAACGCGGGUAGCAAAAAGUCAUGACAGAAUGGACAUGGAGAGACAGAGAGAGACAAAGCGAGACAGAAUAGAAAUGGAGAGACAGAGAGAGACAGAACGGACAUGGAGAGACAGAGAGAGACAGAGAAAGUCACCCAGGGGAGAUGUAUAGUCAGGUGAGUCACCCAGGGGAGAUGUAUCGUCAGGUGAAUCAUCCAGGGGAGAUGUAUAGUCAGGUGAGUCAUCUAGGGGAGAUGUAUAGUCAGGUGUGUCAUCCAGGGGAGAUGUAUAGUCAGGUGAGUCAUCUAGGGGAGAUGUAUAGUCAGGUGAGUCAUCUAGGGGAGAUGUAUAGUCAGGGGAUUCAUCUAGGGGAGAUGUAAAUCAGGUGAGUCAUCCGGGGGAGAUGUAUAGUCAGGUAUAGUUUGGUGAGUUUCCCAGGGGAGAUGUAUAGUCAGGUGAGUCACCAGGGGAGAUGUAUAGUCAGGUGAGUCACCCAGGGGAGAUGUAUAGUCAGGUGAGUCAUCCAGGGGAGAUGUAUAGUCAGGUGAGUCAUCCAGGGUAGAUGUAUAGUCAGGUGAGUCAUCCAGGGGAGAUGUAUAGUCAGGUGAGUCAUCCAGGGGAGAUGUAUAGUCAGGUGUGUCAUCUAGGGGAGAUGUAUAGUCAGGUGAGUCAUCCAGGGGAGAUGUAUAGUCAGGUGUGUCAUCUAGGGGAGAUGUAUAGUCAGGUGAGUCAUCCAGGGUAGAUGUAUAGUCAGGUGAGUCAUCCAGGGUAGAUGUAUAGUCAGGUGAGUCAUCCAGGGUAGAUGUAUAGUCAGGUGAGUCAUCCAGGGUAGAUGUAUAGUCAGGUGAGUCAUCCAGGGUAGAUGUAUAGUCAGGUGAGUCAUCCAGGGGAGAUGUAUAGUCAGGUGAGUCAUCUAGGGGAGAUGUAUAGUCAGGUGAGUCAUCUAGGGGAGAUGUAUAGUCAGGUGAGUCAUCUAGGGGAGAUGUAUAGUCAGGUGAGUCACCCCGAAGAGAUGUAUAGUCAGGUGAGUCAUCCAGGGUAGAUGUAUAGUCAGGUGAGUCAUCCAGGGUAGAUGUAUAGUCAGGUGAGUCAUCCAGGGUAGAUGUAUAGUCAGGUGAGUCAUCCAGGGUAGAUGUAUAGUCAGGUGAGUCAUCCAGGGGAGAUGUAUAGUCAGGUGUGUCAUCUAGGGGAGAUGUGUAGUCAGGUGAGUCACCCAGGGGAGAUGUAUAGUCAGGUGAGUCACCCAGGGGAGAUGUAUAGUCAGGUGAGUCACCCAGGGGAGAUGUAUAGUCAGGUGAGUCAUCUAGGGGAGAUGUAUAGUCAGGUGUGUCAUCUAGGGGAGAUGUAUAGUCAGGUGAGUCAUCCAGGGGAGAUGUAUAGUCAGGUGUGUCAUCUAGGGGAGAUGUAUAGUCAGGUGAGUCAU